rnacentral:rRNA from 1 species
CCUACGGGCGGCAGCAGUGAGGAAUAUUGGUCAAUGGCCGGAAGGCUGAACCAGCCAUGCCGCGUGAAGGUCAGUGCCCUAUGGGCGUUAAACUUCUUUUGUGCGGGAGCAAUAAUGGUCACGUGUGGCCAGACGAGAGUACCGUACGAAUAAGCAUCGGCUAACUCCGUGCCAGCAGCCGCGGUAAUCCGGGGGAUGCAAGCGUUAUCCGGAUUUAUUGGGUUUAAAGGGUGCGUAGGCUGUGAGGUAAGUCAGCGGUGAAAUGCCCCCGCUCAACGGGGUGAAGUGCCAUUGAUACUGGCUGGCUGGAAUGCGGAUGCCGUAGGAGGAAUGUGUGGUGUAGCGGUGAAAUGCAUAGAUAUCACACAGAACACCGAUUGCGAAGGCAUCUCACGAAUCCGCGAUUGACGCUGAUGCACGAAAGCGUGGGUAUCAAACAGGAUUAGAUACCCUAGUAGUC